rnacentral:rRNA from 1 species
CCUACGGGUGACAGCAGUGGGGAAUAUUGGGCAAUGGGCGCAAGCCUGACCCAGCAACGCCGCGUGAAGGAAGAAGGCUUUCGGGUUGUAAACUUCUUUUGUCAGGGACGAAGCAAGUGACGGUACCUCAGGAAUAAGCCACGGCUAACUACGUGCCAGCAGCCGCGGUAAUACGUAGGUGGCAAGCGUUAUCCGGAUUUACUGGGUGUAAAGGGCGUGUAGGCGGGGAAGCAAGUCAGAUGUGAAAACCACGGGCUCAACCUGUGGCCUGCAUUUGAAACUGUUGUUCUUGAGUGCUGGAGAGGCAAGCGGAAUUCCGUGUGUAGCGGUGAAAUGCGUAGAUAUACGGAGGAACACCAGUGGCGAAGGCGGAUUGCUGGACAGUAACUGACGCUGAGGCGCGAAAGCGUGGGGAGCAAACAGGAUUAGAUACCCCGGUAGUC